GCACCACCGAACUCUCUCGUGAAUUCCUAAAAAAAAACUCUCGCGACCUCACCCCCACCCCUCUGUCGACCUCCUCUCCCCCAUGAUCUUCUCCCCGCCGCCACCACCCACGCCCGCCAGUUCCGGUGAGCUCCGGCAGCGCGCAACACACCCAUCUCUUUUCCCGACUCGCCUCUGUCGCUCUACCAUCUCCGCCCGAUGGAUUUAACGCUCGCAGCCUCCGGCAUUCACGCGCGACCGACCGGCUCCGGCGGCUAACCCUAGAAGAGGCAGCGCCUAUGGGGUGGCGGGGGUUGACCGGAAGGGCACGGGGACGCUGCCGCCCAAGGCCAUUCCUUUUCCUCCGGGCUCCGCGGGCAGCAGCAGCAGCCCCUCCCUCGACUGCGCCGACAUUGAGAGCCGGGGCCUUCGGAGCUGGGGAGCUCCACGGUGGGCGGCGGGGAGGCGCGGGUGAUGUGGGACGGCUCCGUGGUGGCGGAGACGAGGGAGGCGCCCAACGUGGUGGCGCAUCCGUUCGACCCCAAGCUGGUGUCCAGCCGGCCGCCGGCAAGCAAGUGAUGGCCUCUGCGACGUGUUGCUGUUGUUUCUUGGAGUUCUUGGAGUCUCUGGAGUGCGUUCUUGAGCUUUUUGGCCUUUUGGGAACUGCUGGACAAUACAACGCCACGGUCACAACAGAACGAGCUGCACGAAAAUUCACCACAGUGAGGCAUAGACCGAAACCUAGCUUGCUUCGCGGAUUCGCGGCGGCAGGGACGGCGACCGGCGUCGGGCCGUGGGCGCGUGUCGACCGGUGCUGCUGCUGCGCCGCUGGCGGGUGGCCGGUCGGGCGGUCGGCGGUCAUCCUCACAUCCUGUUGGAGGCUUGGAGCUCUCGCCUUUGACUCGAGGUCUGAGCCUCUCGGCCUCUCGCCUCUUUAUGUUGAUAACCGGAGUAGUCCUAGUGUAAAUUGAGCUAGCUCUAGUGUUAAUGCGUAUGCAUAUUACUGGUUGCUCUUGUUGCGCUGUCAGGUGAAAGCAGUUCUCCUGUAAUCCCGAGUUUCAGUCAUAUGGUUCUGAACUUCUGAUAUUAGCAUAUAUGCUUUCUUCUGAACUGGGUGGAUGUUGGUUGGCAUAUAGUAUGAGUAGUUCUUAUCUUCCUUUUUAAAUUCCUUUGAAGUGGUGCUCUGUACUGACCAAUGAUGAUACUAGUUAUUUGCUACUGCUCCUAAUGCUCUAGUAGAAGAGGCUGCUGAAGGGCACACUCAAGAACAGGGGACUGCUCCAGAACAAGAAGCAUGUGCAAGUCUGGUGUAGACAAACAAGGAACUCGAGGCAAAUGUCCCGGUUUCGAAGAAGCAGAAAAUGAAGAAACAUCUGGACGAGAAGAAAAAGAAGUGCAAGGCUGGUAAGGUCGAGACCCAUCUUGAAUUCCCUGGACGUGAAAAGGUUAAAUUUGGUGAAGUUGUCGAAGCUCCACCAAAGUUAUCAUUCCCAAAGAGGUGAUCGAUGCUGACAAGCGCGGCCCGGUGGCGCUGUGCUCUUCAACCACUCAGAGUCGGACUUCGACGUGAAGCCCAGUGGCCACGUCGCACAGAUGAUCGUCCAGGUGAUUUCGACGCCGGAGGUCGCCGACGUGGAGGACCUCGACGCCACCGUCCGUGAGAGGGAGGAUUCGUGUCCACCGGCAUCUGAACUCCUAGCCUUGUAGAUACAUCUAGAGAGGUGGUCUGUUUAGGUUGGUGGUAGACCACUAGGGAAGGUACCCACCUUACGAUGAUGGUUGUGUGUGUCUGAUGUUAAAUGGAAUCUUGAGAUGGUUCUAUGAGUUGGUUUGGUUUGCACUGGCCGUACUACCAUUCAUGAGUACUACAUCUAAUUUUUAUUUUUUUAA